rnacentral:rRNA from 1 species
GAUAAACGCUGGCGGCGCACAUAAGACAUGCAAGUCGAACGAGUAGAGAUAUUUCUUUUAGUUAUAUCAAAGCUAGUGGCGGACUGGUGAGUACAAUGUAAGCAACCUGCCUAUUAGAGGGGAACAACAGUUAGAAAUGACUGCUAAUACCGCAUAUGCCAUAAUGUUCACAUGAACAUAGUGGGAAAGGAGCAAUUCGCUAAUAGAUGGGCUUACACCUGAUUAGCUAGUUGGUAAGGUUAACGGCUUACCAAGGCAACGAUCAGUAGCCGAACUGAGAGGUUAAACGGCCACAUUGGGACUGAGAUACGGCCCAGACUCCUACGGGAGGCAGCAGUCGGGAAUAUUGCGCAAUGGAGGAAACUCUGACGCAGUGACGCCGCGUGCAGGAGAAGGCCUUC